AGUUGAGCGCUGAAGGUUGGUACUUGUACCGACUGGAUGAGCAGCGAACGGGUGAGUAACGCGUGGGGAAUCUGCCUUUGAGCGGGGGACAACAUUUGGAAACGAAUGCUAAUACCGCAUAACAACUUUAAACACAAGUUUUAAGUUUGAAAGAUGCAAUUGCAUCACUCAAAGAUGAUCCCGCGUUGUAUUAGCUAGUUGGUGAGGUAAAGGCUCACCAAGGCGAUGAUACAUAGCCGACCUGAGAGGGUGAUCGGCCACAUUGGGACUGAGACACGGCCCAAACUCCUACGGGAGGCAGCAGUAGGGAAUCUUCGGCAAUGGACGAAAGUCUGACCGAGCAACGCCGCGUGAGUGAAGAAGGUUUUCGGAUCGUAAAACUCUGUUGGUAGAGAAGAACGUUGGUGAGAGUGGAAAGCUCAUCAAGUGACGGUAACUACCCAGAAAGGGACGGCUAACUACGUGCCAGCAGCCGCGGUAAUACGUAGGUCCCGAGCGUUGUCCGGAUUUAUUGGGCGUAAAGCGAGCGCAGGUGGUUUAUUAAGUCUGGUGUAAAAGGCAGUGGCUCAACCAUUGUAUGCAUUGGAAACUGGUAGACUUGAGUGCAGGAGAGGAGAGUGGAAUUCCAUGUGUAGCGGUGAAAUGCGUAGAUAUAUGGAGGAACACCGGUGGCGAAAGCGGCUCUCUGGCCUG
rnacentral:rRNA from 1 species